CUUCAACGAGCCAGCCACAGCGGCUUCCGGGUCGCGGCCCUUGCCGUAGGUCGCCAGCAGCGCCUGCGCUC
rnacentral:antisense_RNA from 1 species